rnacentral:rRNA from 1 species
GAAUAAGGGCUGGGCAAGACCGGUGCCAGCCGCCGCGGUAAUACCGGCAGCCCGAGUGAUGGCCGAUUUUAUUGGGCCUAAAGCGUCGGUAGCUGGCUGCGCAAGUCCAUCGGAAAAUCCACCCGCUCAACAGGUGGGCGUCCGGUGGAAACUGCGUGGCUUGGGACCGGAAGGCGCGACGGGUACGUCCGGGGUAGGAGUGAAAUCCCGUAAUCCUGGACGGACCGCCGAUGGCGAAAGCACGUCGCGAGGACGGAUCCGACAGUGAGGGACGAAAGCCAGGGUCUCGAACCGGAUUAGAUACCCGGGUAGUCCUGGCCGUAAACAAUGUCUGUUAGGUGUGGCUCCCGCUACGAGCGGGUGCUGUGCCGUAGGGAAGCCGCUAAACAGACCGCCUGGGAAGUACGUCCGCAAGGAUGAAACUUAAAGGAAUUGGCGGGGGAGCACUACAACCGGAGGAGCCUGCGGUUUAAUUGGACUCAACGCCGGACAUCUCACCAGCAUCGACUGUAAUAAUGACGAUCAGGUUGAUGACCUUAUCCGAGUUUCAGAGAGGAGGUGCAUGGCCGCCGUCAGCUCGUACCGUGAGGCGUCCUGUUAAGUCAGGCAACGAGCGAGACCCGCAUCCUUACUUGCCAGCAGCACUGCGAAGUGGCUGGGGACAGUAGGGAGACCGCCGUGGCCAACACGGAGGAAGGAACGGGCAACGGUAGGUCAGUAUGCCCCGAAUGUGCUGGGCAACACGCGGGCUACAAUGGUCGAGACAAAGGGUUCCUACUCCGAAAGGAGACGGUAAUCUCAGAAACUCGAUCGUAGUUCGGAUUGUGGGCUGCAACUCGCCCACAUGAAGCUGGAUUCGGUAGUAAUCGCGUGUCACAAGCGCGCGGUGAAUACGUCCCUGCUCCUUGCACACACCGCCCGUCAAAGCACCCGAGUGAGGUCCGGAUGAGGC